UGGCGGGGGGGCUCUGAGGGGCGCCGGGAGCCGUAACUAGCGCUGAUAAUAAACUGCGCAGGGGAACAUUAAUGCUGCUGCCAGGCAGCACCUGGGCUUGUGCGACUCUGAAAUAAAUCACAGAAUCACAAUCAGUGAGGUUGGAAAAGAGCUCUGAGACCGUCGAGUGCAGCCUGUGACCGAGCGCCACCUCGUCAACCAGAGCGUGGCACCGAGUGCCACAUCCAGCCUCUCCUUAAACCCUCGGGGAGGGGGACUCCACCGCCUCCCUGGGCAGCCCAGUGUCAAAUCACCCUGUCUGUGAAUAAAUUCCUCCUAGUGUCCAACCUAAACCCCUAUGCUGGCCCAACUUAAGACCACGUCCUGUCACUUGUCACCAUGGAGAAGAGGCCGAGCCUCACCCGGCUACAAGCUCCUUUCAGGGAGCUGUAGAGAAUGAACAAUGUCUCUUUCAGUAUGUUGAACUUUCCUGCUAACAAGCCUGACAAGAAAGCAUCGCACAUCUUUGAAGAGAAGUGGCAAGAACAAACCUUGCUCUGGACAAGCCAGGAAGGAACUGGGACACUCCAGGACUCUGCCUGCAGCCUCACAUGCAGAGAAACCCUGCAUGGCCUGCAUCCACAAAGCAUGAGCUCAGGUUCUGGCAUUUUCUCUGCAGCCUCCAGCACACAGAAACAGACUGCCUCACUCAGCAUUGCUCUGCUCAUUUGAUUUAAUUAAAUGCUUGGUUUCAGACUUUGAUUAUCCACCUGCCCCCAACCUACAAGACAGGCAGAGACAGAUUUUCUGCUUCCUCUGAAUUUAAUAAAUGUGAAUCAGUGGAUAGGACAGGGUUAGACUGAGGAGCACAGCAGCUGGUGCUGCCCUGAGUGUGACAGCCUUGCAAACCCAAGGAAAAGGGUGAUCUUCCCCCUAUUUGACUCAAGAAUUAGGAGUUCUGGGGGUGCAGGUCUUCUGCAUGACUUCCUUGAAGAAACUGGCCCAAACAGAUGGCUGACUCUUAGGCCUACAGGUUAGCUUGUCUGGUACACUGUAAUUUCCUUUUAGAGCCUGGGCUUUUGUUUCAAUCUUGGGGUCCUAAAGGACAUUCAGAAGUGGGAAUGCAAGCUGCUCUUGAAUUCAGUCAGAGCACAGCCAGUCCUUGCAGUUGCAAUUUUGUGUGAGAAAUUGUGUUACCUGUCCAUGUAGGUUAGGUAGCAUAUUUAUUUGUGGCUUGGUUGAGGUAGGAUGGGAUGACCAACACUUGUGCAUGCUGUUCAUGCAUGAGGACAGAAGUUGUUUUAUAUUUUCUUGUACAAAAGCUGCAUGUAGGGAAAGGACUGUCAUUUUGUGCUGUGCCUCUAUAGCAUCUAACCUAGAACAUCCAGGCCCAUGACCAAAGCCUGUAGGCACCAAACUAAUAAUAUGUAAUAAUAAUAUAUGGCACUGGCAUAAGCUAAACAUAGUUCAUGGAGACCCAAACUUAGUGGCUAGAUUUUCAACAUCACAGGCACCCUACUCUCCCACCAUACCAAGAAUGAGCUUUUAGGGGGAAAAACACUUAAAAAUCCCAACUUUUACGGAGACUUUGUUCAUUCCACAAAGAAAUCCAGAGUGUACUUGAGAAAAGUACUCACUUCAGUCUCACAGAUUUAUCAAGAGAAUUGCUGAAAUGGGUCUUCCAGCUCUACAGGGAAAGAAUUCACUUUCCAAAAGUCAUUAGCAUCCAGCAGCUACUAGAAAUUUGACUGAGAGGUACUGAAUGUUAUCCAUUUUUAAAAUCUAGUUACUGCAUAUCCAGAUUGUGAAUGCUGAAACAAUAAGCUCGGACUUUUAAAAAUUAUGGCCAAAGAAUGUGUGUGUAUGUGUCUAUAUAUAAAUACAUAUUUUCUAAUGCAUUUUGAGUUACCCAGAGCUAAACAGAAUCAAAAAAUGCUGAUACACAAAUAUCAUUGUAAUGUAAAUAUAUUCACCAUUUAAUCCUGAUAAAUACUGGAUUAUAGACUUCUGAACAGAGACUGACAAUUAUUGGAAAUCAUGUGGUCAUCUCAAGUAUACAGUGCCUCAAUUAAAAUAAAACCACAAAAUCCUUUUCCUUUUUUAAAAGUACCAUCUAGCAUAUAAUUUAUUUGGUUGGAAUCUACAAAUAUACACAUUAUAUCACGCUAGAAGAACUUGAGAACCACUUUUUUUUUGUUCCCAGGGUCUCUUGACUGUUGGUAAGACGUUACAGUCAUAAUGAUAGAAUUGGUUUACAGUUGCAAAUUCUGCCAAAUAGCUCACAAAUUAUAUUUGGCAAACAACACUGCCUCUGUUUCACAAAGAUAAUGAUCUGAUGUUUUGUUUAUGUGGAAAGGAAAAUAUUAUUUUAGAGCUUGUGACAGAAUUUCAAAAACUUUGUGCGGUGUUCUCAACAUCUGAUACAUUUAAAAGUUACCACUCUAUUAAAUACAGAGUAACACAGAUUUUCAACCAAUCCUUGAAAAAGAAAUAAAAAAAAAUCAAACAAAUGUUCAAUUAAAUACAUUGUGUCCAUUUUAUUUCCUCCAUAUUUACCCAGACCUACACAACAGCUGGUGCAGAUAUUCAUGCACUACUUUUUACAUCUGAUGGUGUCAAACAUACGUGUAGGCUGCUCACCCCAAGAGGAUUUAGUGUUAUAGGAAUGCUUUCAGGAUGGAUUCUGAAAUCCACAGCACAGAGUGGGAAAUGCUCCAUCCGACUUGACCCCCCAGAAGCAUGCAGCCAGCAGCCAGUUUGGACAGGAAAACAGCAUAACCUUGACAGUGCUAUUCUUUGGAUGGCUCUGAGGAGAGAAUGAAAGGAGCAGUGGGUUUGAACUGAAUCUGGGACUCUGCUCUGAGACAGAGACCUCUGAGGUGGUUUCCAUUCUAUAACCUGUGGUGCAAAC